rnacentral:tRNA from 1 species
GCCAGCGUGGGCCGGAACGGCUGGCCGUUCUGCUCGGCGUAGGCGACGCGGAUCAUCUCGCCGCUGGCC